UUUUUCCCUCACAGAAACCCUAGUAUGGCUUAAGAUCCUGUUUGAUUUUUUCCUGUCCCAUGAAAUAAUUACCUAAGCCACCAAGGGUGACAAGGAGGAGCGAUUUCUGCUGAAAAUGCUUACCCUGUACCUGAAAUAAUCCCCGUUCCUUAUUCAGACUCCACAGAAUAUGCAGCCCCUUCCAUGUAUGAGUCAUCAAGCAGUAAAGCAUGAAAUAGCUGGAAAGGUCAUGCAGUGAAGGAAUGAAGGAUACAGAAGCUGGCUUGCGAGUCCAUGGGCAUGAAUCCUAGCUCUGCCACCUACUCGGGUCAGGGAUCUCGGCUACUGAACUUCUCUGCAACUCAGCUCCCCAUCUAUAGUGAAGACAACUACAAAAUAUCUGCCUCAGAGUUUUGUAAAGCUUCAACGAAUUAAAACAUAAAGUGCUGGGAAUACUGCCGACACAUAGAGGCUUUCAAUACUGAAAUGGUUUAUCUUUUUAACCCGUGGUGAGUAAGUUUAUAAGCUGGUCACACAAGUGGGACAGGAGCAAUGAAAAUAUAACUAACUCCAUAAGGCUGCGAUGGAGGACAUCAGAUGCUGAGGAUUAGUACUGAGAAGGAAGCAUCAUUUUUCAGUUUUACAUAAUGUUGCCAGGAGGCCAGGCAAGGGUUGUCUUAUCAAAGUCAUUACAUUUUUAGCACAGUUAUGUUCUUUUGGUCAUGGAAAUCCCUUCAACAACAAUUACAAAACAGGUCUCUCCUAAUGUCUGGGUGUGUUGAGACACCUAAAUUCUCUCUCUGAUCUGCAAAUGAAGACUCAUGUGAGUCCCUCUAGACCUCACACUCAAGUUGAUUAUAAACCUAUCCAAUUACCAGAAACACGUACAUGUUUCCGAUGGCCUUGCAACUUGUCUGGCCUGACGGAGCAGCCAUCCAGCCAACCAACAGGCUUAGCAAAAAAAGCCUAGCUGGAUAGAAAAAUAAAAAAAAUUAAAACUCUAUCUACAAAGAUGCCCUUGUACCACGAUAAUAUUUUAUGUUAUUUUUAAGCAAUCUAUUAUCUUUCACUCAAAUUUAGGAAUAGGGUUUUAUUUUAUUUACAUGUUUCGCACUUAUAAAUCUGGUAAAGUCAGAAGAAUAUGCACAAACUAGGAAUAAUCUAACAUUAACAUGGAAAGCCACAAUGGAGGGGGAAAAGUAUGCUCUCUUUGAUAUUAAUUAUUUAAGAGAAGUCUAUCAACCCCACAUAAAAAGCUUCACACACUGGCAUUUACCAACAACAGCAAAACAGAGACACAUAUUUUCACCACCAUUUAUACCCUUUAGUUCAUUAUCUGAAUGUCAAAUAAUGAAGAUGUGUUUUAAUACUGACAAUAUACACUGUACUAAAGUGUUUGGCUCAAAGGCAGGGCUAACCUUACAAAGUCCUUAACUGUAUGUAUUUCCUAGGGAGGGAUGUGCCACUUAUUUUUGUAUUCUGAAUAUCUGAUAGAACAGAUACUGAAAAAAAUCCCAGAUGGAUGAAUGAAUGAAUGCGAAGAAAAAAAGGGGAAAGAAAAGCAAGAAAGGGCUUACUUCAAAAUAAAAUAAGCUCAAAUAGGUUACCUGUCUCUAAGUGGUUUUCCCAUGAUGCCACUCUUCAUUCUCCUUUGUCUUAUUUGAACCUGCCAUUUGUAUGAAAGUCAAACAGCACUUAAAUAUGAAUUAUCUUUUAAAAUACCCAUCUUUACUUUCAUUAUAAACGUAUGUGAAACAGUCCACGACUCAUGUAAUUUUUUUCUAAAUCUCCUUAAUUAUUUUUAUAGAACUGUUAAGGUCAAAUGAUUGCAACUAUGUGUGCUCUCUGACCCGGGAAUUCACAACAAAUAAAGUACAAGUAGUAAUUAAAAAAUAUUUUUAAUAAAAUAAGAUACCCAUCUCUACUUCUAAAUAGAUAGUGGCUGGAACAUAGUAGGUAUUCAAAAAGCACUUGUCAGAAAAUGAAUGGUUGAGUUAACUGUAAACUCCUUUAGGACAAACAAGUACCUAUUAUGCUUGAUGGUUCUCCAAAUACCUAGCAUUGUAUCUUUGCAUAAUGUACUCCAAAAAUAAUUUAAGAUUUUUUAAGGCCUUACCCAUUCGAACUAUGCAUAACAAGAGUUCACUACAUUCAGACACUGAAUUAGGUAAUGGGACUAUAUUAGUGAAAAUCAGAGCUCAGACCCUCAAAUAGCUUCCCAUCCAGUGGGAGAGGCAGGAUAGACUAGAAACAGACAGACUGAGUAACCACAGGGGAAAGUAUAGCUUCUAUAGGGCACACAUUAGAGGCACCUGGAUGACUUGGGUACCAGAGGGAGAGAGUCUAGGAGAGGUGAUGUCGAAGGGGAUGUCUGGAUGAUAAUAAGGAAUUAGGCGAAGAGAUGGACAGAGGUGUACCACAUCUAAACAAAACAGUAUAACUUACACACAGACCUGGCAUCCAGCGGAUGUUCAACAGGUAACCACUGAAUAACGUUACGUUACAUUACGGGACCCAUUCGACAUUUAACUAUCACCACGUUCUCCCACCCACCCUGAACCCAAAAUCAAGUGGUAUUUGGAAAUUUGUCAUAAAGCCAUAACAUAAAUUGGUUAUGUAGUUAGAAAAAAUUUAUAUCCCUAACCCCGCACCAAAUUGUGCACAUAAUAUACAUUAGAGCUUACUGCCUUUCCAGAAUGUGCCACCACAACCGUAAGGAAAAUCAAACAGCAGUUGUCGAAAAUGCCAAAUGCUGAACUUUUGCAAUCGAGAUUCUGAAGGAAUGUUCCCUACAUUGAUAUUUUUUCUAUAGUGCAAGCCACCACCUCCUGGUUUCCUCGUACCCUGGACUCAUUAGUCAUCACAAACAUUGUUGACUGAAUGGAGUUCACUUUAGUAUACAGAAUGCCUUUGCCUGCUGGCUCUCCUCAGCCACAUCAGAGAGAGGCCCCGGCCACGCGCAAAGCUGCAGGACACUCUGAGAAGUCACACUGUGGUAGCUUGUCUUCCCCCCAAAGGUUACAUUUCAUGACAGAGAUUAAACAUCCUGCCCGUUCUAGGAUGGCUUUUGGAAAUUAUGCUCUAAUGAUGGCCACUCAAGCAAGUAGCUUAGUCAUUUCCCUUUGGCCUCUGCCUAGAGCUUCCCAAUUUGGCCAUUUUUUUUAAUGCAUAUUUCUUAGAUGCCUACCAUGUGCUGGGAACUGUGCUAAGGGCAGGGUCAGUGAUGAAGAAAAGAGACAUGGCCCCUGCCUCGUGGAAUUUACCUUGGAUUAAAGGUCUGUGUUGGAUGCACACUGGGAAGUCAGUAAGCAGAAACCCCACUUUCUCCUCAUCACUGACGGCCUGGCUCAGAGCCCAGGGCCAGGCUGUUGGACACGUCUUCCCCGGAAUUUGAAUCUUGCCCAGAAUUCUCUUGCAGUUCUGUUCCCAAGGACACUUUGGUUUUACAGAGCUAUCCAGGAAGUCUGGGGUAUUGAAUGUUCCUACAAAUGGCCAUUUAUUGACUACCAAUUAGGUACAAGCAUUGAACCAGGCACUUCCCUUACAUUAUUUCUACAUAUAUUAUUUGAAAUUUUUUUUUAAAUGAGAAGACUGAUGUUUCUUGGCAGAGGCAUAUAAAUGAUUUCUCAGGGAUAGCAAAUAUGUGCAAUUAUGGAAUGGAGUGUUAACACACCCCUCCGUAUUCACAGAGCCAGCACACCACUGGGCUCACAGAAAAUGCUCAUCAGCGAUGGUCUAUAUAUGUUUCUGGAAUUGUCGGAUCUCUGUAAAAGGCAAUGAGUGCCUGCUGCCAAAUGCCAGUGAGAUAUGUAGACCACAGGAUGGAGAGCUCAACUGUGGCAAAUGAUGUCCGAAGCAACGUUUCAUAAAAUGGAGUGUGUUAAAUACCCGUGUAUAUGAAUAUAUAUUAUAUUCUGAAGCCACAGGUAGUUCAAAUAGCAGCAGUAUUUUGAAUUCAUAGAAUUUACAGGAGAGCCACUGGGUGGUAGGAUUCCCACUGUUUAUUUGGGAGCAAGAACCCCCAUGCCCAUCCUUAAUGUCAAAUGCUUUAUGGUGACAAGGUCCUCAACAACCUUUAGGACCCUACACUUUCAUGUGUUGUUUCUUGACUUCCGUAUAUGUUUGUAGUAGCACCACCACCGCCUCUUACAAAACGAUCCCUUCUCCACGAGACACACAGAGAGAAUCAGAAUGCAAAAGCCCCACUCUCUGCUCACCACCCAAGAGCUAGCAUGGAACUAAUAAAAUGUGAGUGGUGACCAGACCCGUCUUGCAGUUGCAUUCCAGAUGUUGUCAGUCCAGCUCAACAUCUGCUCCCUCACUUCGAUCAGCCAGUAAUAUCUUUUUGCUCUUCCGCUUGGGAGUUGAUUCUGUUUUUUUUAUUUUGCUGUCCGCAACCAAAGAACUCAGCACUCAAACUCCCAGUUAUUACAGUUUGAUCCCGA